rnacentral:ribozyme from 11 species
AUAAAUGAAGAAAGAAGGACGGAAUACGGAACAGUAGGGUCCUGUUCUGUCCGUUCUUCUCCUUCUUUCUCCUUCCUGCUUUCUUUCCUUUCGUCUUCAUCCU